UCUUUUUUUCUCAAAUUCCCUUGCAAUGACCGAGUCCCAUAUUCAUUUUUCCACUCAGCCGACCCACUCCCUCUCACACGACCCGGUCAAAAAAAUUCCGAACGAUAGUCGAAGCAGCAACAAAACGACCACAAUGCACGACAUGAAUAACAACGGAGUGUGAGCAACCACCCGACCCCGUGUACGCGCUUCUUUUUUCUUCACGCAAGAGCGAGUAGACGGAAAGAAGUUGCGGCAUGAGCAAGCUAGGUAGUACCGCAAUCUUCUUUGUCUUCUCUUCUCGUCCCUUUUAAAAUUGUACAGAAGCAUAGCAACAACUUUAUCUCUUAGAGACUUUUGAAUUUCAAAUUCGAAUUUGAUCCCCAUUCUCCCUCCUUGUUUACCCCAAAUUCGACCUAAUUCUCGUUCUAUAAAUAGUUUCAUCUCUUUCACCUGGUCAGUGGAUGGAAGAAAUAGAGUUAAAAGGUUGACGAGUUGUUGGACGAUUCUUGUGGAGAAACAGUGCUUUUUUUUUUUGUCGAAAAAAAUUUUAGUGUGAGAAAAGUUGUCAAGAAAUUUUUAGCUGCAUUUUCUUUGGGUUAGAAAUUUUUUUGGGGAAGAACAGAGGGAAUUUAUAUCGCAUAUAAAAAAAAGAAGAAAUACAAAGUAAGGGAAAUUAUUCAGUAAGACUCAAAGAAUCACAACAAAAUAUUAGCUAUAUAUAAACGUCUAGCAAACAGGCUUUGGAAGUCAUAUAGAUUUUGAAUGCAACUUCAAAUCCAGUAUUGAUUCUUCUCCGUUCAUAAACACUCUUGGAGUUGCACUUUGGUAGUCGUGAAGUCAUUGUCUCCUCUGCUCGUCCUGUCCCUAGUUCAGCUACCCAAAAGAAAAGGCUCAAAAUUCCUUCACCGAGUUAAACUCAUAAUUCGAAGCAAGUUGGGAAGUCAAAGAAGUUGGGGUAAACGACCUGUAUUAUUUUCUAAAAAAAUUGUAGUUUGUUAUUUUGGCCUAAGACCUCUUAGUCAUUCUGUUUAAUUAUUUCCUUAGGAAUUUAAGACAGGUGAAAAAUUGGGCCUAAGGCCCAAAGUAAAUUGCGUCCAAAUACCGGUUCAGGUGGACAAAAACCGGACUUGGACGCAACCGGACUCUCUCUCUCUCUCUCUUUUUUAUCUCAUGUUUGUUUGAUUAAUUAA